UACGUAGGGAGCAAGCGUUGUUCGGAUUUACUGGGCGUAAAGGGCGCGUAGGCGGCGCGACAAGUCACUUGUGAAAUCUCCGGGCUUAACUCGGAACGGCCAAGUGAAACUGUCAUGCUAGAGUGCAGAAGGGGCAAUCGGAAUUCUUGGUGUAGCGGCGAAAUGCGUAGAUAUCAAGAGGAACACCUGAGGUGAAGACGGGUUGCUGGGCUGACACUGACGCUGAGGUGCGAAAGCUAGGGGAGCAAACGGG
rnacentral:rRNA from 1 species